CCUACGGGAGGCUGCAGUAGGGAAUAUUGCACAAUGGGCGAAACCCUGAUGCAGCGACGCCGCGUGAGCGAAGAAGUAUUUCGGUAUGUAAAGCUCUGUCAGCAGGGAAGAAAAUGACGGUACCUGAGUAAGAAGCUCCGGAUAAAUACGUGCCAGCAGCCGCGGUAAUACGUAUGGCGCAAGCGUUCGCCGGAUUUACUGGGCGUAACGGGAGCGUAGGCGGCUUGCCAAGUCGGAUGUGAAAUACCGGGGCUCAACCCCGGGGUUGCAUUGGAAACUGGCAGGCUGGAGUGCCGGAGAGGCAGGCGGAAGUCCUAGUGUAGCGGUGAAAUGCGUAGAUAUUAGGAGGAACACCAGUGGCGAAGGCGGCCUGCUGGACUGUGACUGACGCUGAGGCUCGAAAGCGUGGGGAGCAAACAGGAUUAGAUACCCUUGUAGUC
rnacentral:rRNA from 1 species